rnacentral:lncRNA from 1 species
GAGAAUUUGCUGUGGUUUGGGCUGUCGACUGACCUAUAGUUUGGAGCAUUGUUGAUUAGUUAAUUGGGGAUUGCUUGGAUGAGGAUACAGAAAUGAUACAAAGUUAAUUUUAUGUAUUCCCAUAUGGUACUAAAGGGUACCUUUUAUAAAACAAAAAAACCACACUGUUUUCUGUGUUCCUUUCCCAUAAAGUUCUCCAAGGUGUUUUUAUGAGUAGGUGGCACAUAUAAUAACCAUCGAAAUAAAGUUAUCACUGAAAGAAACUUUUAAAAGAGAAGAGUAAAAGAAUUUCUAACAUUCCAAAAAUGCAUCAUCCUCAUUUUAUCUCAAGUACUAAAAACAUACAUUCUCCUGGGUUACACGUUCGUUCAUGUGGAAGAGAAAAUGCAUUCUUUUUUAUUAUUAUAAUUAAAUAUUUUCUUCAUUUACAUUUCAAAUGUUAUCCUCUUUCCUGGUUUCCCCUUUGAAAAUCCCCUAUACCUUACCCCCUUCCCCUGCUCCCCAACCCACACAAUCCCGCUUCCUGGCCCUGGCAUUCCCUUAUACUGGGGCAUAUAAUCUUCACAAAACCAAGGGGCCUCUCCUCCUAUCGAUGGCCGACUAGACACCAUGUGUUUUCGUUGAUUGGUGGAGAAAAUACAUUCUUAAUGAACUCCAGUAAAAUUAAACUAUCAAUAUAGAGAGGCAAGAUGGGCGAAAGAGCCAAACUGUAAGAUCCUUUUGUUAUAUGGUGGCAAAGUUUGGCUGGAAGGCAAACUUUUCCAUGAGAAGGGUUUCCAAAACAAAUAUACUCCAAUUUGCAAGCAAUUUAAAUUAAUAUGCAAUUAAUACAUCUCAGAGAAAUUAAAGGAGGAAUGAAAUGCUUACUGUUAGCCACAGGACGUGUGUGGCUUGUCCAUGUGUGCUCAAGUAGGACAUAGGAUGCGGAAACAGAGACACAUAAAGUUCAUCUUGAUCAUUUGAAGGCUUUGACGUAGGUGUUUCUCUUCUUACAUCAUUGCUGUUGAAGUCAGCUUCAGCGCAGCAUGAUUAGAGUGACUCUGUAACUCGGUGUUAUAAAUAAGACAGGGAAAAUAAAGUUGGAUGACUCACCUGGUGAAAUGGAGAACAAAUUAAUUAUUCUCACUGAAUUAAAGGAACAUUUUACAUAGUCAAGAAAUAUUACGUCAAGGAUGAAAUGAAGGCACUUAAUGGUAAAACAUUACUUACCAUAUGCAAAGCUCUGGGCUCAGCUGUCAGCACACUGCCCUGCAACCCCCAAAGUAUUACCUUAAAGAAGAUUUGUGGGAAAAAUGCAUACGAUCAAUUUAAAUUCCUCUCAUGGUAGCAUCCUGAUGAUGUCAAAACUCAAGAAUCUGAGUGAGUGGGGCCUCACAUUCAUGCUUAUGUAAGUUCCGCUUCAGCACUAAGUUGGCUAAGUUCUUGGUCAGCCUCUUUCCUCAUCCGUAACAGUCUCUACCUCCAUGGUUUGUAUGUAGUAGGAAUAAAGUCAACUUUUGUGAAACUUGUUUUAAAAUGGUUGCUUAUAAUUAAGACCUACAAACGGUGCUCUUUAUCAACCAUGACGUGCCACUAGAGGGGCAGGUAUCAAAGCAUGACGCAGCACUCUUGUUAAUUUCUAUUCAUCAUGGAUUUAGGUUCAGAGAAAAUAGUUUAUAAAAUUCCAAAUCAGCUCUGUUUUUCUUAUAGUACAUUAACAUUAUAUUUCAAAUUUAUAAAGGUAUUCCUUUUGUUUUUUAGACAUUAAAGUAGAAGUUUCCAAUUUUUUGCUGAAUUUAAAAAUUUUAAAAAUUCCCUAAUUCAUUCAGUAAUUGGUGAAAACUAUAAUGUUUUAAAAUAAAUUGAAUAACCCUAUUCAUUUCUAAGUAUUUUUGGAUAUAUACUCUAAUAUUCAUCUAAAAAUGUGACUAGCAGCUAUCUGAUUCAUUCUAAGUAUUUGCUCAUAGAAAUGAAGGUCACCUUACAUGUGUUGUAAGGACUGGUAGGCGUGUAUAUUCAUUGUUUUCUUGACAAUGGCUCUAUUUAAUAUGUAUUAGCCAAAAUUGUUCUUCAGAUAUCAUUUAUUAGCUUAUUAAAAGAAAGAUGAUUCAUUUCUUAAUGAAUUAACAUUUAAACUUUUAAAAACAAAGCCAAAUUAUCAUUAAACGAUCAUAGAAAAGUCAUAGGCUCUUUAAAACGUAUAACAUGUACCUCUUCAAUUAAUUAUUCUGUUAAUGCUGAAUAAACAACAAUAGGCAAUUUAAGUCAAGUAAUGGAGUCUUUAAAGUCUAAAGUCUAAUUUUAAAAGUAUUCUAAAUCAUAUUUUAAUGAUUUUAUUGAACUUUAAUUACACUAAAAAUAGUCUGUAUUUCUAGAGAAUGACGAAAUAUUUUAUUUGGUUAGU